UUCCCUUAGUAGCGGCGAGCGAAACGGGAAGAGCCCAAACCAACAAGCUUGCUUGUUGGGGUUGUAGGACACUCUAUACGGAGUUACAAAGGACGACAUUAGACGAAUCAUCUGGAAAGAUGAAUCAAAGAAGGUAAUAAUCCUGUAGUCGAAAAUGUUGUCUCUCUUGAGUGGAUCCUGAGUACGACGGAGCACGUGAAAUUCCGUCGGAAUCUGGGAGGACCAUCUCCUAAGGCUAAAUACUCUCUAGUGACCGAUAGUGAACCAGUACCGUGAGGGAAAGGUGAAAAGCACCCCGGAAGGGGAGUGAAAUAGAACCUGAAACCGUGUGCUUACAAGUAGUCAGAGCCCGUUAAUGGGUGAUGGCGUGCCUUUUGUAGAAUGAACCGGCGAGUUACGAUUUGAUGCAAGGUUAAGCAGUAAAUGUGGAGCCGUAGCGAAAGCGAGUCUGAAUAGGGCGUUUAGUAUUUGGUCGUAGACCCGAAACCAGGUGAUCUACCCUUGGUCAGGUUGAAGUUCAGGUAACACUGAAUGGAGGACCGAACCGACUUACGUUGAAAAGUGAGCGGAUGAACUGAGGGUAGCGGAGAAAUUCCAAUCGAACCUGGAGAUAGCUGGUUCUCUCCGAAAUAGCUUUAGGGCUAGCCUCAAGUGAUGAUUAUUGGAGGUAGAGCACUGUUUGGACGAGGGGCCCCUCUCGGGUUACCGAAUUCAGACAAACUCCGAAUGCCAAUUAAUUUAACUUGGGAGUCAGAACAUGGGUGAUAAGGUCCGUGUUCGAAAGGGAAACAGCCCAGACCACCAGCUAAGGUCCCAAAAUAUAUGUUAAGUGGAAAAGGAUGUGGCGUUGCCCAGACAACUAGGAUGUUGGCUUAGAAGCAGCCAUCAUUUAAAGAGUGCGUAAUAGCUCACUAGUCGAGUGACACUGCGCCGAAAAUGUACCGGGGCUAAACAUAUUACCGAAGCUGUGGAUUGUCCUUUGGACAAUGGUAGGAGAGCGUUCUAAGGGCGUUGAAGCAUGAUCGUAAGGACAUGUGGAGCGCUUAGAAGUGAGAAUGCCGGUGUGAGUAGCGAAAGACGGGUGAGAAUCCCGUCCACCGAUUGACUAAGGUUUCCAGAGGAAGGCUCGUCCGCUCUGGGUUAGUCGGGUCCUAAGCUGAGGCCGACAGGCGUAGGCGAUGGAUAACAGGUUGAUAUUCCUGU
rnacentral:rRNA from 1 species